ensembl:lncRNA
AUGCAGAGGAUGUGACAGCUGAGACAGCUGAGACAGGCUCCAAACUAAUCAUGUAAUGUGAAUAGUAGAGACAGGCAGGGGCUGGAACUACCUGCUCUUUACAACUCAGUUUGCCAUCUUGCUACUUGCCAUAAGAUUUAAGACAAUUAAAAAGAAAAAUAGCAGGGGCUGGCCCCACAGAAUGUAAAAAUGAGAAAGAGACAGAAAAUAACUUUUACUUUAGGAAUGGUUCUGGAAAACCCCAGUGCCAUCACAGAAAUAUUUCAGAUAUGCUAUUUUCCUCCCAUGAACAAACAAAAACUAAUUGUGAAGAGGUUGAGUCAACAGGAGCAUCACUGACCUGAACCUCAUUAUUCAACCCACCUGGACUCUGCAGAAAUUGUGUCAGUUCAAUGGCCGCCAUGACCCGUGGCAUUCUCCUGCUUCUUUGAAUCCUCCUUCUUAGUCUCGUUCUCUGAAUUCAUCUUCUAGCCAGUGAGGUUUUAGUUCUCGGCCUCUGUUCUUUUUUUAGACUCUUUCCCUUGGUGAACAUAUCCACUCACUCAUGUUUAUCUGUACCUUCGGCAGCCAGCUUUAUUUCUGGCUCUGAUCUUGUUUUCAAAUUAUUACCUUUAUCUCUCCAGCUGCCUAAUGGACAUUUCUACCUAAAUAUUUUGCUAUCAUCUCAAACCCAACAUGUCUAUGAUUAAUGUAUCAUCCCCUCAGCCCAGUCCUGGCCUCUUCUCUGAUUUCUGUUAAUGAUUUCAUGAUAUUCUCAGGUCUCUAGCCUCAAAACAAAGAAAAACUCUGACUUAGUCCUAUUUAUCUCUUAGUGUCAGUCAUUAUUUCCUAUCAGUUCUUCUUUGUGCCUUUUCUUACUUUUGUUUCAUUCUUCCCCUUUCUAGCUUGCACCCCAUAAUUCAUCUGACAAUUGAGUUAUAUAAGUUGAACCACAUGAAAUUGUCAUUCUUUUUGGUCAACAUGGUCAAAUAGUGGCAAUUUCAAAUGGUUCAUUCUAAUACAGUAGCUGAUCAGAGCUGUCUCCCAGGCUGCAUGGGAAACUAAUGAAGUUUAGAUUCUGGUCUUUUAGGAAACAGCUCGACCUUGUCUUAACUCUCAAUAUUUGAAACAUUUUCUGGUGCUCUGGAGUGCAUAGAAAUAUUUUGACUUUCCAGUUGUGCUUACAUAGUUCAGGCGUUCCUGUGGCCACAUAUCUCACCCCCCAACCCCCCACCCACCUGUCAGAUUUGGGGCAGGGGGCCCUGAGAACAUAUUUCUGUGACACCACUUUAAAUUCGCUUUGGAAGUAGCAAUGGAAUAAAUUUUUAAUCAGUCAACCAGGUCUUUAAUGCCUGUACUUCACUUACUUGCUUCUACCAGAAAGAAAGAUCCUGCAGGGAUGCACGGGACUCUGUUGUUUGGCCCUCUGCUCUGACGCAGUCGCUGGCCUUCAGGGCACAGUUUCAGGCCCAUCUGUUCAAUCAAGCUUUUGCCUGAUUGACAUGGGAGAAUCAUCCAGGUGAGAAGUCCCUUAGAUUAUUAUCUUCUUCUUUUUUGUGUGUGCAACCAGAGAGCCCUGGUACUGCAGCCUCCUCCAAGUGGCCUAAAUGAACAAAUGCAUAAGCAACGUUUUCUGUAGCAAUUAUAUCCAUUCCAAAAACUUCCUCUUCAAAUCCUCUGUGGAACAAGUCAGCAUAUAAACAUAUACAUAAAUAAUAAAUUUAAAACAUUCCUAAUGGUAGCUUAAAAAAAAUUCUCCCUGCUUUAAAAGUAAGACCUUUUAUUUUAAAACAAGCAUUUCUAUUCUCAUUCCGUUGAAAAGAUGAGUAUGAAGUA